CACACAUCAGAUUAACAAGUUCAGAGCCCUCUUAAUGACUAUCUUGUUUUGGAAGGAAGAAGAAAUGGAAGAGAUGCUUUGGAAGUAGAAGUUGUCAACGACAAGCCUGACAUCACCCAAA